AUUGAACGCUGGCGGCAUGCCUUACACAUGCAAGUCGAACGGCAGCGGACCUUCGGGUGCCGGCGAGUGGCGAACGGGUGAGUAAUAUAUCGGAACGUACCUUUCAGUGGGGGAUAACGUAGCGAAAGUUACGCUAAUACCGCAUAUUCUGUGAGCAGGAAAGCAGGGGAUCGCAAGACCUUGCGCUGAUUGAGCGGCCGAUAUCAGAUUAGCUAGUUGGUGAGGUAAAGGCUCACCAAGGCGACGAUCUGUAGCGGGUCUGAGAGGAUGGUCCGCCACACUGGAACUGAGACACGGUCCAGACUCCUACGGGAGGCAGUAGUGGGGAAUUUUGGACAAUGGGCGCAAGCCUGAUCCAGCCAUGCCGCGUGAGUGAAGAAGGCC
rnacentral:rRNA from 1 species